UACGUAGGGACCAAGCGUUGUCCGGAAUCAUUGGGCGUAAAGAGCGUGUAGGCGGCUUGUUAAGUCUUGCGUGAAAUCUCGGGGCUCAACCCCGAGCGGUCGUGAGAAACUGGCAGGCUAGAGUGCGGGAGAGGAGAGUGGAAUUCCUGGUGUAGCGGUGAAAUGCGCAGAUAUCAGGAAGAACACCCGUGGCGAAGGCGGCUCUCUGGUACGUGACUGACGCUGAGACGCGAAAGCGUGGGGAGCAAACAGG
rnacentral:rRNA from 1 species